rnacentral:rRNA from 1 species
UACAGAGGUCCCAAGCGUUGUUCGGAUUCACUGGGCGUAAAGGGUGCGUAGGCGGUCGGGUAAGUCUGAUGUGAAAUCUCACAGCUUAACUGUGAAACUGCAUUGGAUACCAUCCGGCUAGAGGAAUGGAGGGGAGACUGGAAUACUUGGUGUAGCAGUGAAAUGCGUAGAUAUCAAGUGGAACACCAGUGGCGAAGGCGAGUCUCUGGACAUUUCCUGACGCUGAGGCACGAAAGCCAGGGGAGCAAACGGG